UGGGAACGCGAAGAACCUUACCUAGACUUGACAUCCCCUGAAUUACCUGUAAUGAGGGAAGUCCUUCGGGACGAGGAGACAGGUGGUGCAUGGUUGUCGUCAGCUCGUGUCGUGAGAUGUUGGGUUAAGUCUCGCAACGAGCGCAACCCUUAUCAUUAGUUGCUACCAUUAAGUUGAGCACUCUAAUGAGACUGCCCGGGUUAACCGGGAGGAAGGUGGGAUGACGUCAAAUCAUCAUGCCCCUUAUGUCUAGGGCCACACACGUGCUACAAUGGUGAGUACAACGAGAUGCGAACCCGCGAGGGGAGCUAAACUCAAAAACUCAUCUCAGUUCGGAUUGCAGGCUGCAACUCGCCUGCAUGAAGCUGGAGUUGCUAGUAAUCGCGAAUCAGAAUGUUGCGGUGAAUACGUUCCCGGGUCUUGUACACA
rnacentral:rRNA from 1 species